rnacentral:rRNA from 1 species
CCUACGGGUGGCAGCAGUGGGGAAUCUUGCGCAAUGGGCGGAAGCCUGACGCAGCGACGCCGCGUGCGGGACGAAGGCCUUCGGGUCGUAAACCGCUUUCAGCAGGGACGAGGCCCUCACGGUGCCGGUACCUGCAGACGAAGCCCCCGCUAACUACGUGCCAGCAGCCGCGGUAAUACGUAGGGGGCGAUCGUUAUCCGGAUUCAUUGGGCGUCAAGCGCGCGUAGGCGGCCUGUUAGUUCGGGGUGCAAACACCGGGGCGCAACCCCGGUCCGCCCCCGAUACCGGCAGGCUUGAGUCUGGGAGGGGAAGGCGGAAUUCCCAGUGUAGCGGUGGAAUGCGCAGAUAUUGGGAAGAACACCGGCGGCGAAGGCGGCCUGCUGGGCGACGACUGACGCUGAGGCGCGAAAGCUAGGGGAGCGAACAGGAUUAGAUACCCGGGUAGUC